AUUCAUACCACAGUCAAAACAGAAUGAACCGGUUUGAGUAAAGCCAUUUGAAAGGCAAGAAGCAUCUUGCUUUCUCAUUUGGUGCAAUUCAUUUAACUGUCAUUCUGAGGUUAGCUAAGCAUACCUCCUUUUGCGUGGACCUGCUGAUGAACAAGGAAGCCUCCUCCAUGUUCUGUGGGUGUAGACCAUUCACAGCCACUAUACGGUCUCCAUGGUUAAAUAAACAUCCCAGUCGGCAAGGACCAGUCCACUGUGAGACACUAACAUGUGGAGAACAGACAACAAAUGAAUCAUAAGGGAUAUACAAUUACUGUUACUGUUAACAGAACGGAAAACAGGAUUGCAUUUAUGGCAUUGCCCUCUGGAAAUGGCAGAACGUAGUCCGGGGGCUGAAGAUCUGAUACUGAAUCCUUUAUGUCCUGGAUGAUAUUCUCCCAGGUUCAUUAAUACCUGAAUUAUUAAAUCUGCAGCUAUUUGGUAGCUUUGCCUUCCCAGAGAAUCGG
rnacentral:lncRNA from 1 species